GAAAACCUAGAAACACACACAUUGUGCAUGUCUGGGGAUCGAACAAGGCAGAGAACAAGGGUGAAAACCCUUGUUUAUCAAAUUCAAUCAAUUGGGUAGGAGAUUAAAAGAAAAUCAACUGCUUGAACUCAAAUCUACACUCAUCUAAACUCGAUUUUUAAAGAGAGGCGCGAAGGAAGAAGGUUCAAGUACUAGGAAAUCGGAAGACCCGUAAGAUCGAGGUAUGUUUAUUUACACAUACAUUUUUAGCAUGUUGUAUUAUGAUUACUAAUCUUUAUUGUAACUCGUCAUAUAUGUCAAAAAGUUGAGUAAUUGUAGUUUAUGGAAGUUGAGAAGUAAGUAAUAUGAUCUGUUAUUAACGAAUGACGAAUGAUGUGAAAGGAAGGUUUAUGAAUAAGGUUGCAUCAUAACCGAUUCAUCUUAGUUGAACCGGUUAUUGGAAAGUUAAGAAAGAAUGUAAUGAAGUUUUACUCAAUCUGUCAUGUACGGUUUGGGUUGCUUGCGAAAGAAUGUAAGGAUUGGUAUUGUUCUUCAUAAAUGAACCGAAUGGGAGUUAUGUUAUGAAUGUUAAUAUCCGUUAUUAACGGGUAUGUAAAGAAUGGAAUGUAACGUUUCUAUGGAGACGAGAAUGUAGUGACCUGUUCAACGGAUAGUAAGCGUAAAGAAAAAGAACGUUGUAAAGGCAAGUAAUAUGUAGACUAUUGAUUUAAAAAUGGUUAAUGUGAUUAAGGAAUAAUUCUCUCCUUGGUGUUUGAUGUAGGUAAAGCCUCGAUUUAAUCGGUUCGGCGACUUGAAACGAGCACCCAUAUGUAAUUCGUCUACAAGCGCUUCCGCUACCUUUUGUAACAAAGUCAUGGUCAAAUGUAUUUUGUUGUAGUUAGUUUUAAUUAUUAGUUAAACUUUGAAGCUUGACUUGUUUGGUCUUUUGAAAUUUCUCUAGAUGACGGUAGUUAUCUAAAACUAUGUUUUUGAUUUGUAAGUCUUUUGAAAGUGUUGUUAAUUACUUGAAAUUACGUUUGUCAAAA